AGAGUUUGAUCAUGGCUCAGGAUGAACGCUAGCGACAGGCUUAACACAUGCAAGUCGAGGGGCAGCACAGGGUAGCAAUACUUGGGUGGCGACCGGCGCACGGGUGAGUAACGCGUAUGCAACUUACCUAUCAGAGGGGGAUAGCCCGGCGAAAGUCGGAUUAAUACCCCAUGAAACAGGGGUCCCGCAUGGGAAUAUUUGUUAAAGAUUCAUCGCUGAUAGAUAGGCAUGCGUUCCAUUAGGCAGUUGGCGGGGUAACGGCCACCAAACCGACGAUGGAUAGGGGUUCUGAGAGGAAGGUCCCCCACAUUGGUACUGAGACACGGACCAAACUCCUACGGAGCA
rnacentral:rRNA from 1 species